CCCGAGGAUCACGGAGUUGGCCGAGGUGGUCACCAGCAGCGGAGCUCCUCGGAACCAACGCCGGACAAGUAGGUAGUACUCUUGGUGGUCGGCAUAUGCUCGCAGAUCGUGAGGUGGUCGCCAAGUGGCAAGGAAGCACCCAUGACCUCCACAUGCUAUCGCAGAGCUGUAUCAGAGACAACUUCGGAGGAGGAACUUCAAACGGGCUCGUCAUCGUGGAUGGCGAUCGGCUACGAUGGCCGUGAUUGAUCGUGCCGUACCGCUGGGUAGACACGCCAGCGGAGUGCGCAUACAACCAGGUGCACAGAAAACUGGAAAAAAAAAGCCCGUGUGCUGGCUGCCGAGCCUGCGGGUGGUGCGCUGGGCCUCCAGACCGGUCGUGAACGAGGUGGUCCCUGCCGGCCCAGUGGUGCCGGUCGCCUUUCAGCAGCAGCUGCUGCCUCAGGCGGUCCCCCUGCCACAGGAGGAGGCCCCUCCCGACGUAGCAGCGCAGCUGCUGCACCAGGUUCCACGGGUGCCUCAUCCUCGUCCAUCGGCCAGUCCGGAGGCUCGUAGUCCUGCGUUUCUUCGGACUCCGGCACCUCGAGGAAUGCGACCCCGGGGUCCACUUCAACUUCGUAGUUCAGGUCUCUGUCCUCUCCAACCUCCUCAUCAGUAAUUGGCUGCACGCUGACUGGUGCUGUGCUGGCCCUAAGGAAAAUACACCAGAAUGUCAGUCUUGUCACCCUUGUACAUAAUUUGAAACACUCUUAUUUGUAUUUCAUUCAUGCUUUUUGUGUGCAUGUGGAUCAAGCUCGACUCCUCAGCUCUCGGCCAUUGCUGCUAUUAGUUGUGAAAGUAUGUGGGCUUUAGUAAAGCCAGCCUACAGUGUGCAGGUCAAGCCCGAUCUUGACUGUUGCGGCUAUUAGUUGUGAAAACAGCUGGCUUCAUGGAGAUCCAGUGUGCAGUGUUGAUGCCGGCCAGAUAUUUCUGGUUGCUUGUCCCUACAAUUCUGUUUUAUGUCAAAGACUACCAUGUUGAGCAACAGAUCUGCUCAGGGUGAUUCCAAAUUUAGUGGUAGUGUCUACUGGUCGGUGCUUAAUAAAUUGUACUCACUGUACACCAUAUUUGAACUGACUGCUCAGGAUUACUUCUGAUUUCUUUUAUUUAUCAAUACUGUUCACCCUUUCAAGGUGGUUUUAUUUUAGAAAAGACAUUCCUCAUGGUAUGCAAUGUGCAUGUUGAAAGUGUUGCAAGAGCUUGACGUCAGCAUAUGCUCAGCAGCAGCGAACUCAGCUGUGACAGUGAAUGCUACCUACGAAAUGAGCGAGAUUUCAGAGCACUAAUCUCGCACAAAUAUGUUUAUGCAACAGACUGUCUCAGCUUUGUGCCUUCAUUCAUUUGACUUGCCAUCUCAAUACAACGGACCUGAAGCAAAUGAGGUCCAAGCUUUGUGUUUGUGACCUUUGGGUCUACGUAGCAGUACAAUUUUCAACAUAAAACAAUAUAUUUUUUUGCUGUUUGUCAUAGUUCAGCUUGACUUCAUAAAAGUCUAGCCUUUAUACGGUAGUCUUGCGAUAAUUCAAACUCGGAUAUUAUACUUCUGGUUAAUUCAAACAAAUUUCCUAAGUUUGGUUGUGUCGCUAUGUUCUUAGUGUAUCCAUAUGCCACUUAAACCGAAUUCCGUUUUCCUGUAAUUCAUAUUUUUUGUUCUUGCAGCCCUUUUGUUGAGUGUGCUUCUUUCCGAGCACCGGUACACUGCAGAGGGAACACCCAUGGAGCUGUUGCUUCUUUGCAAUGCACCGGUGCUCGGUGAUAAGCGCACUCAACGGGGCUCAUGCGGAAAUUUCUGCAGCAACUUGCGCAGACGCUGUGAUCUGGUAGCAUGGCGUACACCGAGCGCCGGCACAUUGCGGAGAAGCAACAGAUCCAUGGGUGUUCCCUCUGCAGUGCACCGAUGCUCGGAAAGAUGUGUACUAAACAAAAGGGCUGCAAGAACAAAAAAUAUGAAUUACAGCACAACGGCAUUGAAUUUAAGUGGCAUAGCAUGGGCAAGUCACAACGUCCUCACAAGUUGCUAUGAAAACUGUGGUGCAGUGCCCGCUUUUAUUGUUCACGUGUCCCCCGUUUAAUAGUUCACAAUAGACAACUUCUUGACCCGAUGAACAAACUGAAUUUCGUUUUGAGUUGUCAUGUGCUCUUUGAACAGCCCACAACAAUGAACAUUUUUGAGGGAUAAAUAAACUUUUGUCUUACAUUUCACGAAUGUUUCAUGUGUAGCAUACCUGGUUAUGAUCAGUAGGCCUAUGUAAAGGAAAGCAUGAAAUAUCUUCUGUGUAUGUGAAGCCACUCAUAAGGCAAAUCAUAUAUUUAUCUUGCAUCAUUAUUUAGAUAAAUUUCCGAUAAAUCAAACAAAAUUCAUGGCUUCCUGGAGUUUGAAAUCAUGAGAGUAUAAUGUAUUUUGUAAUGGUAGUGUAGUAGAAACACAAUCCCCUUUGUAUUGUUCGGAUUGCAUGAUACCUUUUUAAGAUAUACCAGCCUAAGUCUGCUAUCAUUUUUCUUUCCCAAACUUUCAAGACUCGGCCAACGGCGCUUGCGAUGUUCAGAAGACUGCGUCGUCCUCCCCAUGUACAUGUCGGCUCAUAAUCACCAUCAUUUUAAUCUUGCAUCUCACAAGAUUAGGUCGUGAUCUUACAUCAUCACAUAAUCACCAUCAGAAGAUGUGGCAUUGCGGGCGUACUUUGCACGGGCUGCUGCCUUUCUGCAGUGCCGUGGCUCUCCUAAUCCAAUAAUUACUAUUAUUAUUAUUGUUGUUUAUAUUAUUUUUAUGAUCAUCAUUGAUGAGCGCAGUGGUCUUUCAUUCACAUGCCUAGCUCGACUUUAACUUCAGGUAACAUGGCUCGAAGUUUUAGAGUUCUUGGAAGGGCACGGUUCUUUCUUGCUCUGGAGAGAACACACCAGAACAUUUCUUUGAGUGGCCCAGUAUUUAGUACUUGCGAACUUCAGAUAUGAUUAUGAAUACAAUAUUAGCUUUGCUAGUAGAACCCCCAAUCGUGUGAAUCUCGAAAGGCUAGACUUCGUACAAAUAGCAGUAACAUGACAGCUCACUCGUCGGUGUCUACGCCUCCUUCGAUACCCAGAAGGUUGGGGCUUGUGGAACCGAUGACCGCCAGCACAGCCUCAGCCAGCGGUGUCAGCGUGUGGUCGUUGCGCCCUGCGCCUGUGGAAGACAAGGUUCUCUCUAUAUUUUGUUUGAGCAUUAAAUUUUAUCUGAUUGCAGCAAGCACAUUCAUUGUUUUGAUUUUAGUGUAUUAAUAGCUUGAUAUCUUAAUUUCUUCUAUAAUUUAGCCAAGAAAAUGAGAAAGUGGAUAAAAAACUUCUUUAGCCAACAGAAUGUGUGCUUCAUUUUUAUGUGUAGUAAAAACAUAUCUAUAGUAAACUCA